rnacentral:rRNA from 1 species
CAUGUAGGCGGUAUAGCAAGUCUGGUGUUAAAUAUCUCGGCUCAACCGAGAAAACGCACUGGAAACCGCUAAACUAGAGUAUAGGAAGGGAAGCUAGAAUUCCUGGUGUAGGGGUGAAAUCUGUAGAUAUCAGGAAGAAUACCGGUGGCGAAGGCGAGCUUCUGGCCAUAUACUGACGCUGAGAUGCGAAAGCGUGGGGAGCGAACAGGAUUAGAUACCCUGGUAGUCC